UCCAAGUGUAAGUUAACGUGCCCGUAAG
rnacentral:sRNA from 1 species